AAAAGUAGAGUGCAAACCUAUCACCAGCCACAGCCAGCAAUUCAAAACAUGAGGUAUAUGCCAUUAUUAUGUAUUUCUUUAAUUUCUUCACUGCCUUUAUUUUUGUGCCUCUCAGUGUCUGCAGAAUCAUGUGAUCCGCCAUGGUGAUCCAUUCUGGUGUAUCAAACCACUCACAUAGGUUUUGGUUUAACGAUGAAAUGGUUAUCAGUAACCUGUUCACUCUCUUAUUUUCAUAUGCUUUUCAUCACAGUUUUUCUUGUUCGCUCCUUUGUCAGGAUAUGUUUGUAUCGGUAAGAAACUUAAUAUCUUCAUGAUUUUCAUCGUUCUGAUAUGAAUAUAUUCGGGUUAAAUAUGUUUUUAGUAUCUAUACAUUGAAGCGAUUUUGGUUUUAGUCUCUCUUUCAAACUAAGGUAUAAUUUAGUCCUUUAAUUUUAGAAAACUUUGGUUUUAGUCCUUUAUACCAAAUUUGAAACCACAAAUAAAAAUUAAAAGAAUUUGGUAAAAAAACUAAAACCAGAGUUUUAUAGAAUUAAAGGACUAAAUUGUACCUUAGCUUGAAUGAGGGAUUAAGACCAAAAUCGCUCCAAAGUAUAAGGAGUAAAAACAUAUUUAACCCAAUAUAUUAUAAUUGAAUAGCCAUCACCAAACACUGGUAAUAGAUGGUUUGAUACAUUAGUAUGGAUCACUUUUGCGAGUCACGUUAGAACAAGUAUGGUUACCUGUGUUCUUGGUGAUUGCGAUUGGCCGGUGGGACAAAAGAGAAACUAAAAUUUGUACGGUAUUGAUACUAAUCAAUUGAACCUGCUAAGGUAUUUUACAAAUUUUCUGUAUUCCAGUGAAAGCAAACAUUGAUUAGGUUGUAGAGUGCAUACCCUAUUAAUUAUCUGUACAUUGUGAACAGGUUGUGGCCUUAGACGGAAGAAGGGACGUUGUAGCUGUUGUGAGUUCAAGUGCAGCAAAACUAUAUAGUCUCUCUACAUUCUUCUGUUAACAAACUAAAUUAUUUAAAGUUCUUAUAGUAUAGGAAUCUGAUAUUGGAAGUGGUGUGUCAUCUUUAAAUGUUACAAGAGAAUCAAAUGGAGGAAGCACAACAUAUUAAUUGUGUUUUUUUAUGUAUAUUUUAAUGAAAAUCCAAACUAUCAAUUCUUUGUAUUUUUCUUUAUACUUUAAUUAUAAUUGUGAGCAAAUAUACCAUGUUAUCUUAAUCUACC
rnacentral:lncRNA from 1 species